UUCUAGCUUCAUUUUUUAUUUUUUUAUGGUCCUUUUUUGCUUUAUACCUAGUCUGAGGUUUUCAUGACGUUUAUUUAGUCAUGUAACUCAAGAUGCUACCAUGUAGACACACUGUAUUUUUAAGGCGGGCAAGUGUGAUUAACGAUGAACCAUUUUAAAGGGGAGGUGAUUUGAAACCUCUAAUUUGAUUACCGGGAGGAUUUUCAUGCUUUCUUUACUAUUUAUUACCAUCAUACCAGUGCAAACUAUUUUACUGUCUAAUACAUUAGCAUUUUGUAUUUUGAUGGAAAUUGUUACAGAAUUUAAAGAUUUGAUGAAAUAAGAUGUAGCAGAUUUUUUGUAGCGAGUUUCUGGUAAAAGGGUUUUUGCAAGUCUCAGGUUCUUGCUGCUCUGUGUCUUUAGUAUUUAUUCAGUUUCUCUACUUCAGAAGCAUUCUGUUCAAGUAACAGCAGCAUUUUUACAAGGGGGAAAGCCGCACGUGUUCUCAGUAGGUUUCCGAGUCCUGCACGUGAAUUAAGGUUUUAGCCAUCAGUGAGUUUUACAAGGGAAAUUCAUUUAUGUACGACAUUAAACAAUGCUUUCAAAAGAUCAUGUCUUAAUUUAUGUUUACCCUUGAUGUAGAUGGAGAAAUCAGAGGUAAACUCAGUUUAGGAACUGCCACUUUGAACAGUUUUGAUCUCAAAGAUGAAGCCAGUCUCAUGCCAAGGGGGGAGAAAUGAGCUGAAACAGCACCAAUUCUUCAGGCCCCUUCCCCCAAAGAGAAACAUACUAUCCCAGUUUUGCUUGACUCACAGAUACCUGGUGGUUCUAUAGAUUAAAGCAGCUUGUGAAAUUAUCCAAGUCGACUCAGUUUUGUUUACCUUUCUGUAAAGUUCUUAAUUUUUGCUGUAUAGCAUUGGCAAAAAAUAAUGUACAAAUUGACCUCUGUUCUUACUCCCUAUGUGAGCAUUAUAAACAGUAAGCUCCUGGGUAAAACCUUGCUCUCAGAUCAAUAGAUUAUCAAUAGAUUAUGUAUGUCACCCCAGCCAAGCAAAAGCUCAGCGUGGGAACCCUGGGACCUUCCUGAGGAUGAUGAAACUGCAUUAGGUUUAAAACUGAUGGCUGUGGAAUAAAUUGUGGUUUUGAGCUUGAAUCUUACCUGUGAUUUUUUUAACAUCCUUUCAUGACUUGAUUUUUCUCGUAUGCCAAUGUAUUUGUAGGUUUCCUGGGUUUUAUUUUUAGGGAGUAGGGUGGUAAUUUCCUUUCUUCUCUUGUUUUGAUUCAGUUGGUUCAGCUAUGGUGCUAAUCAAUAGGUAUUUCAGUGUCAGGUUCCAUAGCUGAAUGCCAUUAUUGUUUUAAUUAUUAUUUGUAAUCAUAUUGUAAGCUUGAAUUUGAGCUUGUACCUGCAUCUUUUGUAUUUUGUACAUUUGGUUGUUUAGACUUUGGGAAUCCUAUUUGGUUUUGGUCAUGUAUGUCUACUUUGUAGAUUAAGUACACUUCAUCAACUAUGGUCUAUUCUGGGUUUGUAGUUUAAUUUAGAGUUGUGUUAAAUUGAUGUUUUGCAUUUGACUUCAUUUUACAUUAGUUUGGAGUAAAUUAUUUAAUUUUUGAAUUCUGGAAUUUGAACAUUUACUGUAAUUUGUAAUAUAACUGCUGUGAAAUACUUGAAUAAAGAUGAUAAGAAG
rnacentral:lncRNA from 1 species